rnacentral:rRNA from 1 species
UACAGAGGGUGCGAGCGUUAAUCGGAAUUACUGGGCGUAAAGCGUGCGUAGACGGUUAUUUAAGUCGGGUGUGAAAGCCCCGGGCUCAACCUGGGAAUUGCAUUCGAGACUGAAUAGCUAGGGUACGGUAGAGGGAAGCGGAAUUUCCGGUGUAGCGGUGAAAUGCGUAGACAUCGGAAGGAACAUCAGUGGCGAAAGCGGCUUCCUGGACCAGUACCGACGUUCAGGCACGAAAGCGUGGGGAGCAAACAGG